GUAUCACUGAUUGAGCUGAUAAACUUUUUUAUGAUUCGAACGUUGAACUAUCAAAAAUCUCUGACUGGUUCAAAUCUAAUAAACGUUCACUCAAUAUUGAUAAAACUAAAUGGACACUCUUUCAUUUAAGGUUAAAAAAAAAAUUACUACCAAGUGAUAUGCCUCAUCUUCAUGUUAACAAUAUUCAAACAAAAAGAAUAAUGUUUAAAAAACUUUCCGGGAAUUAUUUAUAGAUAAAAAUCUAUCGGGGAAGCUUCACAUCGGACACUUAUGCAGCAAAAAUGCAAAAAGUUUUUAAGGUACUUCCAGAUAUCCUUACGGUUUUGUCACAGAGCACCGGGGAUGAGCAUUUAGCUAGAAAGUUCACGCCUUCUUCCUUACCAAUGUCGCUUGUUAAGCUAGAGUCGGCGUCGAACCUUGGAGAUCUCCAGCUUCUAAUCCUGAAUUGGAAUUAUUAUUUGUUCAAAAGACAAAUAAAAAAAAUGUAAAGAUAAUAUAAAGAUCAGGUGGUUUCCUGUACACGUUUUAUUUAUACAGUAGACUUUUAUUAUUAACCAAAUUUUAUUUUU